GGGCCGUGGGAGCAUGUCACUGUGUACAGUGGGCCAAACACAGGAAGGAACAAUAUCUGGUAUACAGCCACCAGAAGGACUGAAAAUAAUGUCUACCGUCUGUAACUUCAAUGUCUGCUGUGAGACCACGUGUGGGCUUCUUUUAGGUCCCAAUGAUAGAAUCAGAGACUCUAAAGCACACAUGAAAAAGGAGAUGGAGGUGUGGUUGCCGUGGCUUUUUGGGAGGUGGGGCAUAGAGGAAAGAAGCCACCAUAUGGAUCAUUUCCUGUUCUUCACAACCUGCGUCUUGGGAGUCCAGCCAUGCACUGUCCCAGAGGCCUCAGGAGGGGAACCAUUCCCAGUGCGCUUUGAAGGCCUGCAGGGAACUUCUUCCUACUAAAAGCACCUGAGAGCAGAGCACCCCAGAUGGACUUCCUAUACCUCCUGUUCUGGUUAUGACCUGGCCUUCAGUGGCACCACCUGCUGGUGCUAAUAGGGGCAGCCCACAGGCCGCUGAGGACAGGUUGCACCCCGCCUACCUCCCUAAUGACAAAUUCCUUGGUAUUUCAAAAGAAGGGAGAAACCACUAUAAAACAUAGAAGGAAGGGGCAGGUACCAGGUAUUUUAUUUUCAGAAUUUAAAUAAAUCCAUUCAGUUAGGACACAUCAGUCUUACCAAGACUGAAUGGGGCUAUGCACAGCCAAGCACAGCUGGGAAAUAGAGAUCCUGGUAUUAUUGGAAGGAAUCCCUUCAC